rnacentral:lncRNA from 1 species
GUACAGGACGGUGUCAUCUCCAGACCCAAGGGCAGGCUCUGCAGCACCAGAAACACAUGGAGUUUCUACAGUUUUGCUUGCUGUGACCUUCUGGGCCACCAGGGAAACACAAUGGAGUCCUGCCAGCUUCGCGCGACGAACCAUCACUUGCCAGGACUCUCUCCAGGCUUCCUGAGACACUGAGUUGCUGCUUGAGGUCCUGACUGCUUCUGAUUCCUCACUGUGCUGCUGGCAGGGUGGGAUUGAUGUCCCGUUUGGGACACUGGGCAGAGCCAAGCCCAUUGCCAUCCUCUGUGCCUUUGGCAGACUGGGGGACCAAGCUGGAUCCCUCUCUCUAAAGGGGUUCCAAGUGAGCAAGGGACAGGCUUGGGGCUGUCCACAUUCACUCUGGUGGGAAGAGCCACCUCCUUCACCCUUUCCACUUGGGAACCGUGUCACUGCUGGGGAUGGCACCACAUGGACGCAGAGCAAGGGUCAGCAGCCUGGCAGCACGGCACUAGCUGAGCCUGAGCACCAUCACAGGGCACGGAGCUGCCCGGGGGGUGCCAGCAUCCCUGGCACGGGUGCACUCCGGGGAUGUAGUGCCGGGCGCAGGAGGAGCUCCGGCACGAUGGGCCGGCUGGAUGACCAUGCCAAGAGGAGGAUCGUGGAGCUGCGCAGGGCUGGGCUGAGCUUCCGCAAGAUCAAGAAGGUGCUGGAGCUGGAUGACAUCCGAGUGACGCCGCAGGCCGUGUACCUCUUCCUCAAGAGGAAGAGUGUGGAGCCGGGGUCAGCAGCAGCUGGCUGGGAUGGGGACCAGCCCUGGCAGGGGCACGAGGCUGAGCUCCCCAGGCUGCUGGGCACCCGGCACCCUGCACUGCCCACCGGGGAUCCUGUGGGCAGCCAGGACACCAAGGAAGGCAUCCAGAUUGUCAGCGUGGCCUCACUGUGCAAGGACGGUGGGCAGCUUGGGGACACUUUGGCUAUGGGGCUGGCCCCUGGAAAUGGUGAUGACAGCUCCACAGGCACAGCCCUGGCUCCAGGGACUGCUCUGAGGGGCCUUGCCCCCCUGCCCCAGACACUGCCCAGCCAAGGGCAGCUGGUCACACCCCCCACCCAGAACUCAGCUCUGAUGGUGAAAAAGAAGACAGUGGACAGGGCUAUCCUCCUGCAGAAAAAGGUUAAAGAUGCCAGCACUCAGACUGCCGUGCCAGACUCUGUGGGUCUGGGCAAUCACAGCCUUGCUUGCAGUGGAGCAGUGUCCCUGCCUGCUCCCAGCUGCCCUGCCAUCGCCGAGAAGCUGGAUGCUGUGCAGCUGGAGGUGCAGAAGCUGAGCCAGGCCCUGCAUGCGGUGCUGGAGCGGCAGUGCCACCUGGAGCGCCAGCAGGAGCAGCAGCAGCGGCUGCAGCAGGAGGUGCUGGUGACACUGCAGCAGCUCAGCUCCACCGUGAGCCACAGCACUGUGCCUGCCACCCAGCCCUGUGGGCCUUUCAGCAGCAUGGCCGAGCCCUCGCCCAGCAUGCCAAACUUCAGCCAGUUCAAGAUGGAGCUGAUCUGA